ACACCUUGAUUUCCAUUUAUUCUUUAAUAAUGAAAAUUUAGUGUAAGUUUCGUUGAUUCUGUGAGAUUUUUUUUUUUUAAACCAGAACUCAAGUUCAUCUUUAAGAAUAUUUUAGAAGUCUGUCUGGUAUUAUCUUCUUCUCCACCACCAAUAGACAAAUUAAAUCCUCUAUAAGAAGAUCACUGAAACAGCACGUUUAUUUUUGUUUUCAGCAUGCUGUUGUCAUGGUAAUCUGAGUUGCUACGGGUCAUUCCCAACAUGCCCAUCACUGGGGCUGGCCAAUGGAGUUUCAGUUAAACUAGUUCAAAAGAUCGUAAACACCUCUGGAUAUCUAGGGGUUUCGACAAACCUUCCAGGAUUGGCGAGUUUCUGUAGAAUUCCUGAUUGUAUCAGCAACCCUUGCGUGCACGGUGAUUGCAUUGAGACCAACUUUGACUACCUAUGUCGUUGUCCGAGCAAUUACAAAGGCAAAAAAUGCGACCAACCAACAGGAGAACCGGUCAUGUUUGUUUCAGAUGCAGACAAAAGGAUUUUCGUGUCAGCUCUCCCAGACCUCAAUUUCACCGAAUUCAUGAGUCUGGAGAUUAAACUAAAGAAUUUCCAUUUUGAUUACUCAACUCAAACACUGUACUGGACCGACAAUAAUGGCACUGAUAUUUGGCGAACAGACCUCAUCCGAAAAACGCCAGAAGCUGUUCCGAAUGUACCCCAAG